GACGAACGCUGGCGGCGUGCCUAACACAUGCAAGUCGAACGGAAAGGCCAUGCUUUUGUGGGGUGCUCGAGUGGCGAACGGGUGAGUAACACGCGAGUAACAUGCCCUUGACUUUGGGAUAACUUCAGGAAACUGGGGCUCAUACCGGAUAGGAGCUCCUGCUGCAUGGUGGGGGAUGGAAAGAUUCGGCGGUUGGGGAUGGACUCGCGGCUUAUCAGCUUGUUGGUGGGGUAGUGGCUUACAAAGGCUUUGAAGGGUAGCCGGCCUGAGAGGGUGACCGGCCACAAUGCGACUGAGGUACGCCCCAGACUCCUACGGGAGGCAGCAGUGGAGAAUAUGGCACAAUGGGCGGGAGCCUGAUGCAACAGCGCCGCGUGCGGGAUGACGGCCUUCGGGUGGUAAACCGCUUUCGACUGUGACGAAGCGUGAGUGACGGUAAUGAGUAAAAAAGCACCGGCUAACUACGUG
rnacentral:rRNA from 1 species